rnacentral:rRNA from 1 species
AGGACGAACGCUGGCGGCGUGCUUAACACAUGCAAGUCGAGCGGAAAGGCCCUUCGGGGUACUCGAGCGGCGAACGGGUGAGUAACACGUGAGCAACCUGCCCUUAGCUCUGGGAUAGCUCCGGGAAACCGGAAUUAAUACCGGAUACGACCUAGGCCGACAUCGGCCAUGGUGGAAAGUUUUUCGGCUAGGGAUGGACUCGCGGCCUAUCAGCUAGUUGGUGGGGUAAAGGCCUACCAAGGCGACGACGGGUAGCCGGCCUGAGAGGGCGACCGGCCACACUGGGACUGAGACACGGCCCAGACUCCUACGGGAGGCAGCAGUGGGGAAUCUUGCGCAAUGGGCGAAAGCCUGACGCAGCGACGCCGCGUGGGGGAUGAAGGCCGUUCGGGUUGUAAACCCCUUUCAGCGAGGGACGAAGCGAAAGUGACGGUACCUGCAGAAGAAGCGCCGGCUAACUACGCGCCAGCAGCCGC